rnacentral:rRNA from 1 species
GACGUAGGGCGCGAGCGUUAUCCGGUUUUAUUGGGCGUAAAGAGCGUGUAGGCGGCCAUACAGGUCAGCUGUGAAAACUCGAGGCUCAACCUCGAGACGUCGGUUGAAACCGUAUGGCUAGAGUCCGGAAGAGGAGAGUGGAAUUCCCGGUGUAGCGGUGAAAUGCGCAGAUAUCGGGAAGAACACCCGUGGCGAAGGCGGCUCUCUGGGACGGUACUGACGCUGAGACGCGAAAGCGUGGGGAGCGAACAGG